ACAGCAAGAUGUGAAAUGGUGUAAGGUGCUGAGGAGACAAGCAAACACAUACGUACAAAGGACUGCUUCUACUUUGCCACUAUGUUGCUAAGGUCCAUCUGUGGAUGAUGAUAAAUAUUCAUAUGCUGAUUCCUUCUUAGAAUUUUUAGCUUUGUAAGUUAGUGUGUGUCUCGGAUUGGCGUGCACACCAAAUCAUGGAUAUAGCCACUACCCUUAAAGGAGUGAUAGGCUCGUGACACUGCCACAGUGGUGUGCUACUCCUACUCCUUAAUUCAAAGUUCAAUGGCCUUGGGUCCAUCUGCUUUCAUACUCCU
rnacentral:lncRNA from 1 species